GCCCGGUUAGCUCAGCUGGUUAGAGCGUCGUACUAAUAUCGCACACCCAGCUAUAUUCUGUUCAUGCGAAGGUCAACAGUUCAAUCCUGUUACUGGGCA